rnacentral:rRNA from 1 species
UCUAACGUGGUGACGGGAGGGGGUGGAAUACGUGGGGGGGGAGGUUUAAUGGGAAUUACUGGGCGUAAAGCGUGCGGAGGGGGGUGGCCGUGUCCGAUGUGAAAGCCCCGUGCUUAACAUGGGAAUGGCAGUGGAAACUGGCUGGCGGGAGUGUGGCAGAGGGGGGUGGAAUUCCACGUGUAGCAGUGAAAUGCGUAGAGAUGUGGAGGAACACCGAUGGCGAAGGCAGCCCCCUGGGCCAACACUGACGCUCAGGCACGAAAGCGUGGGGAGCAAACAGGAUUAGAUACCCCUGUAGUC